UACGUAGGAGGCAAGCGUUGUCCGGAAUUACUGGGCGUAAAGCGCGUGUAGGUGGUGGGACAAGUCUGCUGUGAAAGCGCCUGGCUUAACCGGGCGAGGUCGGCGGAAACUGUCCGACUCGAGGACGGUAGAGGGGGGUGGAAUUCCCGGUGUAGUGGUGAAAUGCGUAGAGAUCGGGAGGAACACCUGUGGCGAAGGCGGCCCCCUGGGCCGGCCCUGACACUGAGGCACGAAAGCGUGGGGAGCAAACAGG
rnacentral:rRNA from 1 species